rnacentral:rRNA from 1 species
UACAGAGGGGGCAAGCGUUGUUCGGAAUUACUGGGCGUAAAGGGCGCGUAGGCGGCCCGCUAAGUCGAACGUGAAAUCCCCGGGCUCAACCCGGGAACUGCGUCCGAUACUGGCAGGCUUGAAUCCGGGAGAGGGAUGCGGAAUUCCAGGUGUAGCUGUGAAAUGCGUAGAUAUCUGGAGGAACACCGGUGGCGAAGGCGGCAUCCUGGACCGGUAUUGACGCUGAGGCGCGAAAGCCAGGGGAGCAAACGGG